AAGAUAGAGAACGUAAAUCAAUAUUACAAUUCCCAACCAAGUACCAAGAAAAAUCGUAAUAAACAGUUCGAAUGUUAAGGAAUGAGUAACUACACAAACAUGAAGAUGACACUUAUCAACGUUUCUGUGCUUUCUUAAGAGAUUGGAAUCCACACAACUGGUAGUAAAAUUUUGGAUUUCAUAAUAACUAAGGAAUUUGCUUUCACGGUAACGAAAACGAUAUUUACUUUCUUCGAAAGUUUAAACGCUAUAAACGGUAAAGGCCAAAUAAAUAAACGCAUUAAACAUUGGUACUUAGUCAUUGCUUCGUGCCUAACCAAUAUACUGGUCACAUGAAAAGAUCUGGGUUUUCUUCAUGUGUCUAACAACAAAACAAAAUCCACUUUCUACAUAGAAAGUCCUGUAAGAAGUAAACACCAUUAAUAGAUCACUGAUGCACUCUGUUCCCUUACUCCAUCAAUCUACUGAUACAAAUAUUAAUGCUGACAUUUAAAUAUCUUGCCAAUAAAGUUA